UACGGAGGGUGCGAGCGUUAGUCGGAAUUACUGGGCGUAAAGCGCGCGUAGGCGGCGUGAUAAGCCGGUUGUGAAAGCCCCGGGCUCAACCUGGGAACGGCAUCCGGAACUGUCACGCUAGAGUGCAGGAGAGGAAGGUAGAAUUCCCGGUGUAGCGGUGAAAUGCAUAGAUAUUACAUAGAAUACCGAUUGCGAAGGCAGAUCACUAAUAAUUCACUGACACUGAGGUGCGAAAGCGUGGGUAGCAAACAGG
rnacentral:misc_RNA from 1 species